rnacentral:rRNA from 1 species
AUUGAACGCUGGCGGCAUGCUUUACACAUGCAAGUCGAACGGCAGCACGAGAAGUUUACUUCUUGGUGGCGAGUGGCGAACGGGUGAGUAAUACAUCGGAACGUGCCCAGUAGUGGGGGAUAACUGAUCGAAAGAUUAGCUAAUACCGCAUACAACCUACGGGUAAAAGCAGGGGACCUUAGGGCCUUGUGCUAUUGGAGCGGCCGAUGACAGAUUAGGUAGUUGGUGGGGUAAAGGCCUACCAAGCCCGCGAUCUGUAGCUGGUCUGAGAGGAUGAUCAGCCACACUGGAACUGAGACACGGUCCAGACUCCUACGGGAGGCAGCAGUGGGGAAUUUUGGACAAUGGGGGAAACCCUGAUCCAGCCAUGCCGCGUGCAGGAAGAAGGCCUUGGGUUGUAAACUGUCUUUUGUUCAGGGAAGAAAAGACGCUUGGAUAAUACCUGGGUGUGCUGACGGUACCUGAAGAA